AAACCAUGCUAUGGGCAUCAAUUGACAAGAUCCUUGAACCGCACCCAACAUUAGAAGAAUAUUUCAUCCUCCUUUUAGACGAAGUUCAUGAUUGACUUUCUAAGGGU